ACGCUCGACACCUACGGGAGGCAGCAGUGAGGAAUAUUGGUCAAUGGACGCAAGUCUGAACCAGCCAUGCCGCGUGCAGGAUGACGGCUCUAUGAGUUGUAAAACUGCUUUUGUACGAGGGUAAACGCAGAUACGUGUAUCUGUCUGAAAGUAUCGUACGAAUAAGGAUCGGCUAACUCCGUGCCAACAGCCGCGGUAAUCUGAGCGGGCUGGCAAGGC
rnacentral:rRNA from 1 species